rnacentral:rRNA from 1 species
AGCAGCCGCGGUAAUUCCAGCUCCAAUAGCGUAUAUUAAAGUUGUUGCAGUUAAAAAGCUCGUAGUUGAAUUUCGGGAUUGACGUGAUGGUCAUGCCUUAAGGGGUAUGAACUGUUACAGUUGAUUUCUCACCUUCUGGGGAAACUUGAUGUCCUUUAUUGGGUGUCUUGCGGAUCCAGGACCUUUACCUUGAAAAAUUAGAGUGUUUAAAGCAGGCAUUUUUGCUCGAAUACAUUAGCAUGGAAUAAUAGAAUAGGACGGCAUGGUUCUAUUUUGUUGGUUUCUAGGAUCACCGUAAUGAUUAAUAGGGAUAGUUGGGGGCAUUAGUAUUCAAUUGUCAGAGGUGAAAUUCUUGGAUUUAUUGAAGACUAACUACUGCGAAAGCAUUUGCCAAGGAUGUUUUCAUUAAUCAAGAACGAAAGUUAGGGGAUCGAAGACGAUCAGAUACCGUCGUAGUCUUAACCAUAAACUAUGCCGACUAGGAAUCAGACGAUUGUUAAUUUUUUAAUGUACUUCGUUU